rnacentral:rRNA from 1 species
CGGCAGCACGGGGGCAACCCUGGUGGCGAGUGGCGAACGGGUGAGUAAUAUAUCGGAACGUACCCUGGAGUGGGGGAUAACGCAGCGAAAGUUGCGCUAAUACCGCAUACGAUCUACGGAUGAAAGUGGGGGAUCCGCAAGGACCUCAUGCUCGUGGAGCGGCCGAUAUCUGAUUAGCUAGUUGGUGGGGUAAAGGCCUACCAAGGCAUCGAUCAGUAGCUGGUCUGAGAGGACGACCAGCCACACUGGAACUGAGACACGGUCCAAACUCCUACGGGAGGCAGCAGUGGGGAAUUUUGGACAAUGGGGGCAACCCUGAUCCAGCAAUGCCGCGUGAGUGAAGAAGGCCUUCGGGUUGUAAAGCUCUUUUGUCGGGGAAAAAACGGAUUGGUUUAAUACACUGGUCUAAUGACGGUACCCGAAAAAUAAGCACCGGCUAACUACGUGCCAGCAGCCGCGGUAAUACGUAGGGUGCAAGCGUUAAUCGGAAUUACUGGGCGUAAAGCGUGCGCAGGCGGUUAUGUAAGACAGAUGUGAAAUGCCCGGGCUUAACCUGGGAACUGCAUUUGUGACUGCAUGGCUAGAGUGUGUCAGAGGGGGGUAGAAUUCCACGUGUAGCAGUGAAAUGCGUAGAUAUGUGGAGGAAUACCGAUGGCGAAGGCAGCCCCCUGGGAUAACACUGACGCUCAUGCACGAAGCGUGGGGAGCAAACAGGAUUAG